CGAUUGCCCUUCGGGGCGCAGCAGGCGCGAAAACUUUACAAUGCAGGCAACUGCGAUAAGGGAACAUCGAGUGAUACUCAUAAUGGGUGUCUGUCCCGCUGUCUAAAAAACAGCGGUUAGCAAGGGCCGGGCAAGACCGGUGCCAGCCGCCGCGGUAAUACCGGCGGCUCGAGUGGUGGCCGAUAUUAUUGAGUCUAAAGGGUCCGUAGCCGGCUUUGCAGGUCUUGUGGGAAAUCCAGCGGCUUAACCGUUGGGCGUCCGCGAGAUACUACAUUGCUUGGGACUGGGAGAGGUAAGAGGUACUCAGGGGGUAGGAGUGAAAUCCUGUAAUCCUUUGGGGACCACCGGUGGCGAAGGCGUCUUACCAGAACAGGUCCGACGGUGAGGGACGAAAGCUAGGGGCACGAACCGGAUUAGAUACCCGGGUAGUCCUAGCCGUAAACGAUGCUCGCUAGGUGUCACAGCAGUCGUGAACUGCUGUGGUGCCGUAGGGAAGCCGUGAAGCGAGCCACUUGGGAAGUACGACCGCAAGGUUGAAACUUAAAGGAAUUGGCGGGGGAGCAC
rnacentral:rRNA from 1 species